GAUGAACGCUAGCUACAGGCUUAACACAUGCAAGUCGAGGGGCAGCAUGAGGUCAGCUUGCUGACUUUGAUGGCGACCGGCGCACGGGUGAGUAACGCGUAUCCAACCUUCCCGCGACUGGGGGAUAACCUUGCGAAAGUAAGACUAAUACCCCAUGGUUUCCGAGGCGGACAUCCAAUUUGGACUAAAGAUUCAUCGGUUGUGGCUGGGGAUGCGUCUGAUUAGCUUGUUGGCGGGGUAACGGCCCACCAAGGCUACGAUCAGUAGGGGUUCUGAGAGGAAGGUCCCCCACAUUGGAACUGAGACACGGUCCAAACUCCUACGGGAGGCAGCAGUGAGGAAUAUUGGUCAAUGGACGAGAGUCUGAACCAGCCAAGUAGCGUGCAGGAUGACGGCCCUAUGGGUUGUAAACUGCUUUUAUACGGGAAUAAAGUCAACCACGUGUGGUUGUUUGUAUGUACCGUAUGAAUAAGGACCGGCUAAUUCCGUACCAGCCGCCGCCGAAGAC
rnacentral:rRNA from 1 species